GAUGAACGCUAGCGAUAGGCUUAACACAUGCAAGUCGAGGGGCAGCAUGGUCUUAGCUUGCUAAGACUGAUGGCGACCGGCGCACGGGUGCGUAACGCGUAUGCAACUUGCCUCACAGAGGGGGAUAACCCGUCGAAAGACGGACUAAUACCGCGUACACUCCAUCUUGGGCAUCCAAGGUAGAGGAAAUGAAAUUCGCUGUGAGAUAGGCAUGCGUCCCAUUAGCUAGUUGGUGAGGUAACGGCUCACCAAGGCGACGAUGGGUAGGGGAACUGAGAGGUUGAACCCCCACACUGGUACUGAGACACGGACCAGACUCCUACGGGAGGCAGCAGUGAGGAUUAUUGGUCAAUGGGCGAGAGCCUGAACCAGCCAAGUCGCGUGAAGGAUGACUGUCUUAUGGAUUGUAAACUUCUUUUAUACGGGAAUAACAAGAGUCACGUGUGACUCCCUGCAUGUACCGUAUGAAUAAGCAUCGGCUAACUCCGUG
rnacentral:rRNA from 1 species